ACCACCUCAGAGCAAGAUGUCUCGUGCUAGAACCAUGACAGAAUCAGGCUUUGCACUGCAGUGUCUGCAGGUUGGGAUGAAGAGUGUCUCUUGUUCUGCGAGAAGCGGACUUUCAGCAAUAGAGGGAAUGGGGGGGAAAAGGUGUAAAGAUGACCCCAGUCCCAUAAGAGGAGAGCGUCCCCCAUGGAAUGUCGUCCAAUCCCCGCUCUGGAGCAGUACUGUGGAAAUUUCUUAUUCUGGAUAUUUGGAUUCAACCAGAAGAAUACCACCCACUGUAUGAAGACGACUGUGGUGUCCUUAAGGAUGGAGGCCCAGUUAAUGCACACUAUUACCACAGUUGACAGACAUGUAACAGAGGUUUAAUUGAGAGCAGUCUAUGCCCCAAAACCCUCUUGGGCAAGGUGGCGGCAAGUAGGCAAGAUACUUUCAGAGAAAAAAAGGAAGAGACCUACAGUUGUGAAACUGAAAGGAGGUUCAUUAGGAUUUGUAGCCCAUCAAUCAAGGUCAUGACCAGAACUUGAGUACUGCCAGAGGACUAAGAGUGGCGGGCCUCAGGAAUCCAUUAAGUAACAGUUGUGUGGGUUUCUUACAGAGCAAUCUAUCUGCAGUCACUGACUUGUUUCUGCAAAAAGUGUUGGCCUUGAGGCCCAUGGU